GGAGGUGGACGGAGGAUCGCCGGCGGACAUGUGCUGUCCGCGGGAGGAAAGUCCGGGCUCUAAAGGGCAGGGAGGUCGCUAACGGCGACCCGGGGCGACCCGAGGGAAAGCGCAACAGAAAGCACACCGCCGAUGGCCUUGCGGGGCGGUCGCCCCGGAAGGCACAGGCAAGGGUGAAAACGUGGGGUAAGAGCCCACGCGCGACGGCCGGGUGACCGGCGGCGCGGCAAGCCCCUCCCGGAGCAAGCUCGAAUAGAGGUGCCGUCGAGAGCGGCCCGUUCGAUCCGCCGCCUCCCAGGAGGCGGCGGCGGCACCUGGGUAAGAGCGCUCGAGCGCCGCAGCAAUGCGGCGCCUAGACGAAUGAUCCUCGCCGGCGUCGGGGCGACCCGCCGCCGGAACAGGACCCGGCUUACAGUCCGCCUCCGGCC
rnacentral:RNase_P_RNA from 1 species